rnacentral:tRNA from 1 species
GUCUCUGUGGCUCAGUUGGAAGAGCGUUGGUCUCAUAUUUUCAUGAAUAUGACUCGUGCAGCAAGCCAGGGACAUCCAAAGGUCGCAAGUUCGAGCCUUGCCAGGGACA